rnacentral:rRNA from 1 species
GACAGAGGGUGCAAACGUUGUUCGGAAUUACUGGGCGUAAAGCGCGUGUAGGCUGCUCGGAAAGUCGGGUGUGAAAGCCCUGGGCUUAACCUAGGAAGUGCACUCGAAACUUCCGAGCUGGAGUCUUGGAGAGGGAAGCGGAAUUCUUGGUGUAGAGGUGAAAUUCGUAGAUAUCUGGAGGAACACCGGUGGCGAAGGCGGCAUCCUGGACCGACACUGACGCUGAGGAGCGAAAGCCAGGGGAGCAAACGGG